rnacentral:rRNA from 1 species
CCUGCGCGGAAGAUUUAACGGGGCUCAAGCUGUAUACCGAAGCUGCGGAUUCGACUUUUCUUCGGAUUAGUUGGAUGGUAGAGGAGCGUUCUGUAAGCCGGUGAAGGUGAAUCGUAAGGUUUGCUGGAGGUAUCAGAAGUGCGAAUGCUGACAUAAGUAACGAUAAGACGGGUGAAAAACCCGUCCGCCGAAAAUCCAAGGUUUCCUGCGCAACGUUAAUCGGCGCAGGGUUAGUCGGCCCCUAAGGCGAGGCAGAGAUGCGUAGUCGAUGGGAAACUGGUUAAUAUUCCAGUACCGCUAAUAAAUGCGAUGGGGUGACGGAGAAGGCUAGGCCAGAACACAGUUGGUGUGUAUCUAAGCGUUUAGGUGUGAGAACCAGGCAAAUCCGGUUCUCUUUAACACUGAGGCGUGAAUGCGACGAUUCUACGGAAUUGGAGUGGUCGAUGCCCUGCUUCCAGGAAAACCCUCUAAGCUUCAGUUUAUUAGCGACCGUACUCUAAACGGACACACGUGGAUAGGAUGAGAAUUCCAAGGCGCUUGAGAGAACUCUGGUGAAGGAACUAGGCAAAAUAGCACCGUAACUUCGGGAGAAGGUGCGCCCCUGACGGUUCAUAGCUGUUGGGGGCCGCAGAGACCAGGUGGCUGCGACUGUUUAACAAAAACACAGCACUCUGCUAACGCGAAAGCGGACGUAUAGGGUGUGACGCCUGCCCGGUGCCGGAAGGUUAAUUGAUGGGGUUAUCUUCGGAGAAGCUCUUGAUCGAAGCCCCGGUAAACGGCGGCCGUAACAAUAACGGUCCUAAGGUAGCGAAAUUCCUUGUCGGGUAAGUUCCGACCCGCACGAAAGGCGUAACGAUUUGGGUACUGUCUCAGAGAGAGACUCGGCGAAAUAGAAUUGUCUGUGAAGAUGCGGACUACCUGCACCUGGACAGAAAGACCCUAUGAAGCUUUACUGUAGCUUGGGAUUGACUUUGGGUUUAUUUUGCGCAGUAUAUGUGGGAGGCUAAGAAAGUGUAUUUCUGGAUAUACUCGAGCCGUCAAUGAGAUACCACUCUGAAUAAACUAAAAUUCUAACUUUGAUAGUCGUUAACCGGCCAAAGAACAUUUCCAGGUGGGCAGUUUGACUGGGGCGGUCGCCUCCUAAAAAGUAACGGAGGCGUGCAAAGGUUUCCUCAGACUGGUCGGAAAUCAGUCUUCGAGUAUAAAGGCAUAAGGAAGCUUGACUGCAAGACCUACAAGUCGAGCAGAGACGAAAGUCGGCCUUAGUGAUCCGACAGUGCUGAGUGGAAAGACUGUCGCUCAACGGAUAAAAGUUACUCUAAGGNGAGUUCACAUCGACGGGGAGGUUUGGCACCUCGAUGUCGGCUCAUCGCAUCCUGGGGCGGUAGUACGUCCCAAGGGUUGGGCUGUUCGCCCAUGAAAGCGGUACGCGAGCUGGGUUCAGAACGUCGUGAGACAGUUCGGUCCAUAUCCGGUGCAGGCGUUAGAGUAUUGAGAGGAGCUCUCCUUAGUACGAGAGGACCGGGAGAGACACACCUCUGGUGUACCAGUUAUUGUGCCAACAGUAAACGCUGGGUAGCUAAGUGUGGAUGUGAUAACUGCUGAAAGCAUCUAAGUAGGAAGCCAACCUCAAGAUGAGUACUCUCACCGUUUAACGGAUAAGAUCACGGUAAGACUAACCGUUUGAUAGGCAUCAAGUGUAAGUGUAGUAAUGCAUGUAGCUGAGAUGUACUAAUAGAUCGAAGACUUUACUUA